rnacentral:rRNA from 1 species
GAUGAACGCUGGCGGCGUGCCUAAUACAUGCAAGUCGAGCGAACAGAUGAGGAGCUUGCUCCUCUGACGUUAGCGGCGGACGGGUGAGUAACACGUGGAUAACCUACCUAUAAGACUGGGAUAACUUCGGGAAACCGGAGCUAAUACCGUAUAAUAUAUUGAACCGCAUGGUUCAAUAGUGAAAGACGGUUUUGCUGUCACUUAUAGAUGGAUCCGCGCCGCAUUAGCUAGUUGGUAAGGUAACGGCUUACCAAGGCAACGAUGCGUAGCCGACCUGAGAGGGUGAUCGGCCACACUGGAACUGAGACACGGUCCAGACUCCUACGGGAGGCAGCAGUAGGGAAUCUUCCGCAAUGGGCGAAAGCCUGACGGAGCAACGCCGAGUGAGUGAUGAAGGUCUUCGGAUCGUAAAACUCUGUUAUUAGGGAAGAACAAAUGUGUAAGUAACUAUGCACGUCUUGACGGUAACUAAUCAGAAAGCCACGGCUAACUACGUG